rnacentral:lncRNA from 10 species
GGACACAGGGAGAGGUCAGUGGUCCACAACCCAGAAGACAGCCUCCACCAGAGCUCAACCAUGCUGGCACCCUGAUACCGGACUUCCAACCUCCAGAACAAUACAGAAGUUGACUAAGACACACAUCAUGAAAAAUGCAAGGUGAAGUUUCACUUUAAUUUCAGCUUUUGUAUUGGAAAUGCAUUUGGAUGACUUUCUUCCCUACUGCUGGGAUUGAACAUUUGAUCUUCUUUGCCCUUGGUCGGUGUCGACCAGAAGAACGUGGGUGUCUGCGAGGUAGCAAGAGAUCAAGGACAAGUUCCCAUCAGGAGCCUGACAAUCCCAGCUCCAGGUGUCAACAAACAUUGUGUUUUAAAUAUUUUUAGGAGACAAGAGGACCUGAAAAGGAGUCCUUUCUGGCCGGGGGUUAUCUAGGUCUUGGGAGAGGUGUCAGGAGGGAUAGCUGGGGCCGCUGGCGUCAAAGGACCCAACAGGACAAAGGAGGGCCACUGGUGGCAAGCUCCUGAAAGGCCUGUUUGUUUUUUGUUUUGUUUUCAGUGCUGAUUUCCACUAUCUCUGUUGGGU